CCAACGUCAUUCUUGGUCUCGGUUGGUGUAGGAUCUUCCACGGAGGGUUUGGGGGCUCCGCUGUGCUUCCUGGUGGACGCCUGUGGCCGAAGAAGGAGAGGUCGACCACUGGAUGGCCGGAAUUUCAUCACUGCACCGUUGAAUUCGCCGCGGCGAGCGGGCAGACCGAGGUGCUUCCAGGUUCGUGGUAGCCUCUUUUCCCUUUCAUCGUGCGGCUGUUCACUACGUAUUAUCGCAUCCUGUUCGAAGUUCGAGUGUCUGUGGCGAAUUUUGGCCAAUGUCGGCCAUGGCGUCGCCGCAGGCACUCGGGCACUGCCGUGCGCUUGACAUUAGGGGGUGGCGCGUGCGCCAGAGCGCUGUGGCCCGUUGAUCUUCUGCGCAACGACCAAGAUUAGACAAUCGGGUACCUGUUCGCACGAUUGAAUCAUGAGCGUAGAUCUAGGAUCCCUCGGUUCGGAUUAGAUUUGGCUGCAUAAGAUCGUGACCGUAGAUCUCCCACCGAACGGUCCCGAUUAGAUCGUGAUGCUGGUUCGGGGAGAUAGAUCUGGGUCGUUGAUCUAAUCUCGGACGGGUGAGGAUUUGUUGAGGGAUUUUAAAUCCCGGUCGUCGAUUCUCAAUCGGACGGUUAUCUGCGGCGCUCUGAGUUUUAUCUGCGCCGAUCUAAUCUGGGCGCUCGAUCAUGGAUCCAGCGGCCAGUAAACCCUGAUACCCUUUCGCUGAUCAUAUGUUGCAGAAAGGCCCUUAUGCUUUUAGAAAAAUGGAACCCGCCGUCCAGUAGGGAGGCAGUCUGUGCCUUAGGAAAGUUACACCGAGAGCCCUUCUGUUUUCUGUACUUGGCGCCCAGUCCAUAGCUUUGAGAAUUCAGUUAUUUAAUUCUAGAAAUUGAUUUUUAAUACAAAAAUAAACCCUAGAACUUGUAUAAAUCAUAGAAAAUUCAUAUGAACUCCAAAUUAACUCAUUCCUGUUUCUAAAAUUUUGUAAUAUUAUUGUUUAUCACUUAGAGUAUCUGUUUUGACAUGAAAACAGUAAAAAAAUUAAUUACUCACUUAAUCAUAUAUUAAGCACAUAAAACCUUCAGAAAUUCAUAUCUUAAAAUCUAUAACUCCAAAAUUAAUGAUUCAUGUUCGUAGGUUCUUAUUUUAAUGUGUAGAUUAUUAUUAUGUAUUUUGUUUACAUGUUUGGUGUGAUGUUAAUUUCUCUUUAUAUUGUGCUUGUCUGUAUUGUGGCGAGUAGAAGAGCAUGUGACUAAGGAUCGUAGUGCCCAGCAGAUAGAAGUUGCUGAGCAGGAGCUCAUUGAAGGCAAGUUGUGCCCUUGAUCACUUAUUUUUUCCCAGCCAUGUUCUUAUUAAUCAUAAUGAUCUGCAUAGGUUAAUUUUGAUGGGAUCGUUUAGGUUACCCUAGUUUUGGUUAUCUUUAUACCUUGUUUACCACUCAAUAUUUUUGGGUAGUACUUGCUAUUGCUUUAUGUGGUUUUGGGUAUGGAGAUACAUUAUUCAUGAACACUUUUAUUAUCUGUUUAUUAUUACUGUUCAUGUUAAGAUCAUUAUGUUAAUGGGAACAUGGAGCGACCACCCGGGAAAACAGUGCUACCACAAGGGUAGUAUGGGAUGCCCUUGGCUGAUUAACUAGGAAAGCUAGCGGAUGACUACCUUACCCGAUAGGGGCAAGGGCAUUAGGGGAGUGGUCAGUGUAGGGAGGUCCUUGGGUUGAUUUUGCUCCGAUGGCGGUCAGGCGCCUGGAGCUUCCUAUAAACUGUAGCGGGUUUUCUGAAGCUAGUGGAACUUUGUAAAGGCCUAGUAGUGUUACCCUGCCUCGCCUCCUCGGUAGAGGUGUAUGGGAUUGACCGUCUCUUGGCAGAUGGGUAACAUGACUUGUGGGUUAAGAUGUGCAACCUCUUCAGAGUGUAAAACUGGUAUACUAGCCGUGCUCACGGUUAUGAGCAGCUCGGACCCUCACAUGAUUAAUCUAUGGAAUUAAAACUCAAUUUGUCAUUUGCAUCGCAUUGGGAUUAUUUUAUUAUUACUUUUACUUAUUAAUACUAAGGUUUGGUAUUUACUUAUACUUAGUAAUUGCUAAUAAAAUUUUGACCAACUUAUAAAAGCAAUGCUCAGCUUCAACCUUUAUUUUGUUGAUCAGCCUUACACUUCACAUGAACUCCCACCUUUGGAGAGUUCAUGCACAUUAUUCACCACAACUUGUUGAGCUAUGAACGUAUGUGAGCUCACUCUUGCUGUCUCACACCCCCCCCCACAGGAGAAGAAUAGGUGGUCGAAGAGGAGUCGCCUAACACUAAGGCUUUCGACUUGAUCUAGGUGGUGUCUCCUAGUCAGCUUUGUGGCGCCAGGGAAUAAUAUUUAGUUCGCUUUAUUUUAUCAUUUAUUUUUGUAAGACUUCCGCUAUGUAAUAAUUACAUUGAUAAUAUUUAUGACAUUUAUCUCUAUGCACUCUGUUAU
rnacentral:lncRNA from 1 species